UUCCAGCAAAAAAAGUCCUGUCGCUAGCUCUGAUACAUAGGCUACCUUGAUAAUAUUUUAUUAAAUAUGUUUUUUUGGCAAAUACAGGAUAUAGUACAUUUUUAUCUGUUCAAGGAUAAAUAUUUUCAUAUGUAGUCAUUAAUUUAGAACAAAAGCACAGUAAUCAACUUUCUAUAUUAUUUCCACUGUCACUUUAUUAACAAUUCAUUUCCAGUGGGCUUAUCUUAAUGGCCUAAUUACUGAUUGAGCCAUCUUACAAUCUUUCAUCAAACUGCAAUUCAUUGUGGUCUGCUGGCAGGCAACAACAUUAAGGAAAAUAAGGUAUAAUCUCCAAAUACAAGAGUCUGAUACCUGAACUGUGUGAUUUAACAACCUGCCUUGUAUUAUUGCACAUACCUAUGUUAUAAAGUCUUGAGGAAGAAUAUAAUCUGGUGUCGGAGGUACACUGUAAACUGUACAUUUGCUGUUUAGAAUGCCAGUACUGUAUGUAUAGGCUCUGUGUUGACCAACCAGCCAGUCCCACGUAAACACUCAAGUGUAAUCCAAGAGUCAUGUGGCACUGGAAUAUGGAACAUUUGUUGGCUGGUGGGGGCAGGCGUUAUUUUGAAAAGAAUGGUAGUUUCCAUCAACGUACAAACGCUUUUUUCCUGCUAUUGUGCCACUGGCUCUUGAAGGAAAUCCGCCCAUAUCUUUUCUCAACUUUGUCCCAAAUUUGAUUUAUGGUGAAAACAAGUAUUAGUUAACAGAGCUUGCCUGGAAGUUCAGUAAAGUGUGCUUCAUAUCACAACCCAGCAUACUGCAUCAUUUGGUGUUGACACACUCCUGAGAAUAUUUUUGUAUAUUUCAAUUAGCAAAACAUGCAGUUUUUUAUUCUGACAUUUAUUAUGUCAGUACGCAAACUACGCCUUAUACUCACACACAUGCACGUACACUCAAGACCGACAUUUUUUUUUCAUGCCGUAGCCUACGUCAGUGAAUGAAAUUGCUUAACAACACACAAACCGCAAGGAAGCUAUGACCUCAUAUCCUAGGUAUAGGAAGAUAAGAUAAAAAAAAAUCUAACACAAUGUGGAAUGGUUAAAAAAAAGAUUUAAAAAAAUUCCACCAAGGCUAGAUAUUUCCACAGAAGGCCUCAGAAGAGGAAGGGCAUGUGAUUGGUCAUGUGAUGUGGGCAGCAAUUGUGCAAAAGCGGUGGCUCCACAAUAUACAAUACAGUAUGCCUCUUAGGCCUCAUGCUAUGGGCGGUCAGUUUUUUCCCCAUCUCUUUUUGUUCUUGUACAGCUGGACCAGCACCAAACAAACAAGCAAACAAACAAACACAAGCAGGUCACACGUCCUGCGAUAUCUCCUUUCAAUGUCCACAUUUUGUUUCCAAGUCCUUUUUUAGUUGUUUCUCUUAUUGUUGUUUCACUUCUUGCCACUUAAUCACUUAAUUGUUUUCCUUUUGAAAACCUGCCUGGUAAAAUAAAACAAUAUCACAAAAAAAGCAAUAUCACAAAAAAUGUAAUGUAAUAAUGCUUGCAUGUAAUGUAAUGUAAUAAUGCUUGCAUGUAUGUGUUUGUGUGUUUUUAUUGCAAAGUGAACUGGAAACAUUUAAAUGGCACGCAGGGUAAUUAUGUGAGAAUAAGGUCAUUUAUACAUCAGGUGUGAAGGGGCCAUUGACUGAAUAUGGCCAAGAACAAACUUUUCUUGAGAAUUCAAUUCUAACUGAUGUUAUUUUCCAGAAAGUGUCAAACUCAUUCCCAAGCUUCCAACAUAUGCACUUGAUAAACUGUUCUUAUGAUGCAAAUUACUGAUAUUUAUUCCAGAGAACAGCUGCUCUAUUCCCAAUUUAAUGUCCUAAAUGCAAAUUAUGUCUUUUUUAAUAUGGAUCAUCAGCAUCAUUUUACUGCUGUCAGCAUCAGCAGUGACGCAUAUGAAAUCUUUUCCAGAUUUACUGAAGAGAUUAUUUGGCGCUAAUUCCUCUUGAGAUCUCAGCUGUGCUUAUGUUAAAGGAGGGGGAACUUACUGAAAACCUCAGGCUGCUGUGGAACACACAGCUGUCCUGAUCCGUCCUCCCCAGGCACGUGCGGGGGGGGGGCUUCAGGCGCUCAUGCACCUGCUCCUUUUACAGUGCCUCAUGAGCCUCUUCAUUUGAUAAAAAAUAAAUAAAAAAAAGGUUUAAGCACUCACUGAGCACUAUAUUAUGCUUGUGAAUGCAAAUAUUUAAUCAGCCAAUCAUGUGGCAGCAACUAAAUGUAUAAAAGCAUGCAGAUGUGGUCAAGAGGUUCUGCUGUUUUUCAGACAAAAUGUCAGAAUAGGGAGGAAAUGUGACUUUUACCAGUGACUGAUUGUUGGUGCCAGACAGUUUCAGUAUCACAGGAUUUGCUGAUUUUCACGCACAACACUCUCCAGGACCAGGGUUGGUGACCUCUCUGUUGGUUUGCAGAGAAUGCCACCAAAAACCAAAAACAUCCAGUGAGCAGACGUUCUAUGGGAAGAAACACUUAAUAAGAGUGAUCAGAGGAGAAAUGCCUGACUGGUCGAAGCUGACAGGAAGGUGACAGUAAUGCAAAUAACCACACAUUACAACAGUUGUAUGCAGAAGAGCAUCUCUGAACACACAAUGUAUCAAACCUCUAAGUGGAUAGGCUACAGCAGCAGAAGACCAAUAAGUUAAAAAAGUGUAAUAAAUACCUCAUAAUUCACUCACUGAGUGUCUAGAUUUUUUGUAAUUAUUGUAGCUGUCAUUCAUUUUCAUUCAUUAAUUUUUGGCAAAAUAAAGUCUGUACAACAACUGG